GACGAACGCUGGCGGCGUGCUUAACACAUGCAAGUCGAACGGAAAGGCCCUGCUUUUGUGGGGUGCUCGAGUGGCGAACGGGUGAGUAACACGUGAGUAACCUGCCCUUGACUUUGGGAUAACUUCAGGAAACUGGGGCUAAUACCGGAUAGGAGCUCCUGCUGCAUGGUGGGGGUUGGAAAGUUUCGGCGGUUGGGGAUGGACUCGCGGCUUAUGAGCUUGUUGGUGGGGUAGUGGCUUACCAAGGCUUUGACGGGUAGCCGGCCUGAGAGGGUGACCGGCCACAUUGGGACUGAGAUACGGCCCAGACUCCUACGGGAGGCAGCAGUGGGGAAUAUUGCACAAUGGGCGGAAGCCUGAUGCAGCAACGCCGCGUGCGGGAUGACGGCCUUCGGGUUGUGAACCGCUUUCGCCUGUGACGAAGCGUGAGUGACGGUAAUGGGUAAAGAAGCACCGGCUAACUACGUG
rnacentral:rRNA from 1 species